UACGUAGGGUGCAAGCGUUUGUCCGGAAUUAUUGGGCGUAAAGAGCUCGUAGGCGGUCUGUCGCGUCUGCUGUGAAAACCCGGGGCUCAACUCCGGGCUUGCAGUGGAUACGGGCAGACUAGAGUUCGGUAGGGGAGACUGGAAUUCCUGGUGUAGCGGUGAAAUGCGCAGAUAGUCAGGAGGAACACCGAUGGCGAAGGCAGGUCUCUGGGCAUUAACUGACGCUGAGGAGCGAAAGCAUGGGGAGCGAACAGG
rnacentral:rRNA from 1 species